CCAUCUCCACGUCGAAGCCGCGUCGCCAGCCGAACGCGUCUGCAAAUCGGAGCCGCGAACGCGCCUACACCCGAGCCGCACCGAAGCCGCGAACGCGCCUGCCUCCAGCCGACGGACGAAACCGAACCCGGAACCACCACCCGCGCGUCCGAACCCGGAACCGCCCGCGCGCCCGAAACCGAAACCCGCGUCCGCGCCACACGUGCCCAGCUCUCCCCGCGUGCAGCCGCGCCGCGCCGUGCGUUCCGCGUAGCCGAGCCGCGCCCCCUCCCGGUAGCAAGCCGAGCCGCACGCGAAGUCCCUGUACCGAGCCGAGCCGCGCCUACGCCAAGCCGAGCCGGUCCUGUCUUCUUCCAGUCGAGCCGCCAAGCCUGUUUUGGCUCCUUCCACCUAAAUUUUUGGUAAUUUCCAAAUUCCCUAGCCUGCCCAGUAAUUAAAUGAGUUAAUUUGGAAAUUUAAUUAAUUUAAUUACUUUCCUCAAGAAGCAAAUUGGACCAAAUAGCUGCUGCAGCUUAGGACUUCCUCAGUAGGAACUCAUCUAGCAACAUCUCGAGGUAGAGGACGAGGUAAGGGCAAGGGCAAACUGGCGAGCGACUCGAAGUGAGACCGUGAAGGGCCAUAGGGACUACCGCUUCCGCUUAUCUUUAUUUCAGAUUUUCGCACUUGAGUUCGAGUACUUUCAUUAUUUACCAUCUUUAUGUAGAUAGGGCCCGCUUAGGGAUUUUAAACUUAACUCGUAUUUCUACAUGUUACUUUAACUAUCUUUCAUAAAUAAAUUUGCUAGAUUUCUUUGCAUUUAUUUACACCAGAUUUUAUGACUUAAACACUGAUCCUAGAUUUAGUAACCACUUCGAUUCAGCAUAAA